UACAAUCAUAUCAUGUUGAAAACACCAGUUCUUGUACAAUCACUGAAGUUAAGCAAUGUCGUGCUUGGUCAGUACCUAGAUGAGUGACCACUUGAGAAUACCAGAUGCUGCAAG